rnacentral:lncRNA from 1 species
AUGCUUUUGCAACAAACACACUGUGUUCCCCUAUUAUUAUUUCAAAAGAAAGACAAAGGUUUUAAAGUUUUGAGGAUAAGAUCAACUUGUGACUUUAGGGGCAGAGCCAGAACAGAGCUCUAUUUCCUGACCUUAAGGAAGAGACAUGAUAAUCUUUUGAGGUUAAUGGGAAGGAGAUACUCAAAUAAUAAAAGCUCCCUGGCCUGUGCUCGGAAUGUGAGAGGUCAGAUUCCCAACGUGGCCAAAUGGAAGAAAAAGGAGACAGGCUCAUCUGGAUGGCCAACGCAGUACAUCCAGUGCUUUCUCAACAUUGUCCUGCCUUUGGACUUACCUGGUGGCUCAGAAGGUAUGCGGGAGACCAGGGUUCAAUCCCUGGGUUGGGACGAUCUCCUGGAGAAGGAAAUGGCAACCCACUCCAGUAUUCUUGCCUAAAAAAUCCCAUGGACAGAGGAACCUAGUAGGCUACAAUCCAUGGGGUCACAAAGAGUCGGACACGACUGAGGGACUUCACCUUCACUUUCACUUUGGCUAGAAGCAGGGCUCCGAUGCCAAAUUCAAGUUCUUUGUAAUCUUGGUGUUCUCUAAUAAGCUACUUAGCCCAAACAAAGAAGAAAAAAUGAUUUCAUCAACGCCUUAAAAAUAAACAUUUCUAAAAGGAUUGAUUUUAGAAAACAAUGGACCAGAAUGCUUAAAAAUCCUCUUCAAAAUUUGUUAAAAAUGCAAAUCUCCCCUUCUCCCCAUUCUAAUUAAGUACAUAUGGUUUGGGGUUUGGGAAACUGCAUUUACUAAAGCACCUAAAGUCAUUCUAAAGCAAAUUUAUUCAGGGAACACAUUAGGAUAUCACUUGUUUAAUUUUCUGGAGCAAAGAUAGACUGGAAAAGAAAGACAUUUGCAAUGUCCACAACUAACAGGAGAUUUCAUAGCCAGAACAGCAGUUUUCAAAGUGUAGUCUCUGAACUCGUGGGGUCUCUGAGAAUUUUCAGGAGGUUUGCAAGAUUGAAAAUGUUUUUAUAAUAAUACAAAGAUUUUGUUUGUCUUUUUCAUGUGUUGACUUUUGCUCCCAUUGUCCAAAACCAGUGUUGGGUAAAAUUGAUGGCCCAGGUAACUAAGUGAAUUUACUGAAAUAGAAAACAUAGGAAGAAUAGCCUACAUGGAGGGGAAGACUUUAAUGUUGGAUAUAUUGAUUUGUGGUACCUAUUUAUUGGACAUUCAGAUAGAGUUGGUCUGUAGGCAUUUAUGGAUUUGGAGCUCAGCAGAGAGUUCUGAAGUGGACGUAUCUGCAAUGGAUAGUAAUUACGCUUCUUCUUUACAUACACCUGGAUUCUCGUGACUAUGUUAAAUCUCCAUGAUAUUCUCUUUUUGUCCAAGAAUACGCAGUCAAGGAUACACUUGCCCAUCUCUGUAUCCUUGAGCAAGUUAAACAAGCUUCUCUGUUUCUCAAUUUUCUCAUUCAUAAAAUGAGGAUAAAGAACUUGUGUUAUAGGAUUGCUUGUGAGUAUUAAAGGACUUAAGGUAUAAAAUACCAAGAGUAGUGCAUGGUACACAGCAAGCACUCCAUAAAUUAUCAAUGUUUUGUAAUUAUGGCGCUUGUGCUUUCUCUUAGUAGAACUUGUCAUAGUUGUUAGCAUAUAAUUACCAUGUUACAAGCCCCAUGAGAGUUUGGGUCUUGCUUCCUGCAAUAUCCUUAGCACUACUACAUAGUGGAUACACAAUACUCAUUCAAUAAAUAAUAAAUCAAUUUCCCAGGGUUGUGGUUAUAUUGUUGUGAAUUUUUCCAUCUUUAAGCUGCCUUUUACUUAGAUCAACAGGUUGGAGAAGUGAGUUUGCUGUGACUUGUUUUUUGCUCUGUAGAGUGUUGUGUUCCUCAAAAUCUCUAUGAUGGUGGCCCCACACAAGUGGUCAGUAAAUGUUUAGAGAUUGACUGAGUGUAUAUUGCGGAUCGAUCCUCAUUUCCUCACUCAGCUUUGCCUGUCUUCAUGCUGUUUGUUUGUUUUUCCUUUCUGGCCACAUCCCACAGCAUGGAGGGGGAAGGGGAUCCUAGAUCCCCAGCCAGGGAUUGAACCUGCACCCCCUACAUUGGAAGCAUGGAAUUCUAACCACUGGACUGCCAAGAGAGUCCCUAGAAUUCAAAUUUUUACUUGGACUUUUUGAAAUAUAGUCUGGCAUCCAUAGGAACUUGCCUAUUUUUGAGCUAGAAAAAUGGUCUGAAAAAUCAAAUACCUCAUUCUAAUGACCAAUAACU